rnacentral:rRNA from 1 species
CCUAUGGGUGGCAGCAGUGGGGAAUUUUGGACAAUGGGCGCAAGCCUGAUCCAGCCAUUCCGCGUGAGUGAAGAAGGCCUUCGGGUUGUAAAGCUCUUUCGCAAGGGAAGAAAACUUAUCCUCUAACAUAGGAUGAGGUUGACGGUACCUUGAUAAGAAGCACCGGCUAACUACGUGCCAGCAGCCGCGGUAAUACGUAGGGUGCGAGCGGUCGUCGGAAUUACUGGGCGUAAAGCGUAAGCAGGCUGUGAAAUCCCCGAGCUCAACGUGGGAACUGCGUUUGAAACUACAAGACUAGAGUAGGUCAGAGGGGGGUAGAAUUCCACGUGUAGCAGUGAAAUGCGUAGAGAUGUGGAGGAAUAUCAAUGGCGAAGGCAGCCCCCUGGGAUCAUAUUGACGCUCAUGCACGAAAGCGUGGGGAGCAAACAGGAUUAGAUACCCGAGUAGUC